UACAGAGGGGGCAAGCGUUGUUCGGAAUUACUGGGCGUAAAGGGCGCGUAGGCGGCCUUCUAAGUCGAACGUGAAAUCCCCGGGCUCAACCCGGGAACUGCGUCCGAUACUGGAAGGCUUGAAUCCGGGAGAGGGAUGCGGAAUUCCAGGUGUAGCGGUGAAAUGCGUAGAUAUCUGGAGGAACACCGGCGGCGAAGGCGGCAUCCUGGACCGGCAUUGACGCUGAGGCGCGAAAGCCAGGGGAGCAAAGCGGG
rnacentral:rRNA from 1 species